GUCGAUGACCAGCAUGUCGAGGCCGUGCUCGGCCUUGAGGCGGCGGGCCUUGGCGCGCAUCUCGAGGACGCCGAUCGACGCCGUGUCGUCGAUG
rnacentral:tRNA from 1 species